rnacentral:rRNA from 1 species
AUACGGAGGGUCCAAGCGUUAUCCGGAAUCAUUGGGUUUAAAGGGUCCGCAGGCGGUCAAUUAAGUCAGAGGUGAAAGCCCAUCGCUCAACGUUGGAACUGCCUUUGAUACUGGUUGACUUGAGUUAUACGGAAGUAGAUAGAAUAAGUAGUGUAGCGGUGAAAUGCAUAGAUAUUACUUAGAAUACCGAUUGCGAAGGCAGUCUACUACGUAUAUGCUGACGCUGAGGGACGAAAGCGUGGGGAGCGAACAGGAGUAGAUACCCUAGUAGUCC